AUGAACCUGCGGCUAGAUCUACUAGAACAUCCUACAAACUACAGACGAAAUCGACAUGCAUCACCGCAAAAAGAGCCUAAAACUCGAUCUACUCACAGACUGCUACUACGGCGGGUGGCGUGGCGAGCUUGUCUCCAGAGCCGGAUACGCUCGGCUACUGCAGAGUUCGGCGCCGUUGGGGCGGCGGUGGAACCCGACGAGUCUAGGCGGGGAGGCGAGCCACCGGCAUGGCGUGGGGAAGCGCCGACGCCGGAGAUCGGACUGGUGGCGGGCGAGGGAGCUCCGACCAGCUACACACGCGGGGGCUAA
rnacentral:rRNA from 1 species